rnacentral:rRNA from 1 species
AAUCAGAAUGUCACGGUGAAUACGUUCCCGGGCCUUGUACACACCGCCCGUCACACCAUGGGAGUGGGUUGCUCCAGAAGUAGCUAGUCUAACCGCAAGGGGGACGGUUACCACGGAGUGAUUCAUGACUGGGGUGAAGUCGUAACAAGGUAGCCGUAGGGGAACCUGCGGCUGGAUCACCUCCUUA